ensembl:miRNA
UAACUGAACACACUGGAUUCAUUUCUCUGAAAGUGGAUUUUGUGGUCUGUCCGGGGAAUGGAUCCAGCGUGAUCGGUUG